rnacentral:rRNA from 1 species
GCGCUGGCGGCAGGCCUAACACAUGCAAGUCGAGCGGUAACAGAAAGAAAGCUUGCCUUCUUUGCUGACGAGCGGCGGACGGGUGAGUAAUGCCUGGGAAUAUGCCUUAGUGUGGGGGAUAACUAUUGGAAACGAUAGCUAAUACCGCAUAACGUCUUCGGACCAAAGAGGGGGACCUUCGGGCCUCUCGCGCUAAGAUUAGCCCAGGUGGGAUUAGCUAGUUGGUGAGGUAAAGGCUCACCAAGGCAACGAUCCCUAGCUGGUCUGAGAGGAUGAUCAGCCACACUGGAACUGAGACACGGUCCAGACUCCUACGGGAGGCAGCAGUGGGGAAUAUUGCACAAUGGGGGAAACCCUGAUGCAGCCAUGCCGCGUGUAUGAAGAAGGCCUUCGGGUUGUAAAGUACUUUCAGUCGUGAGGAAGGCAUUGUAGUUAAUAGCUGCAGUGCUUGACGUUAGCGACAGAAGAAGCACCGGCUAACUCCGUG